rnacentral:rRNA from 1 species
GUAAACCCAGGCAGCCCUUAAACCCGCUGCCCGCCAGAGAAUUACAAGUGAAAAACCUGAAACUCAAAGGACUUGACGGUUUCCCACAUCAGCCUAGAGGAGCCUGUCCCGUAAUCGACGACCCACGUUAAACCUCACCCGCCCUUGCACCUACAGCCUAUAUACCGCCGUCCCCAGCCAACCUUGUAAAAGAACUAGUAGUUGGCCCAACAGCCCACGCUAAGACAUCAGGUCAAGGUGUAGCUUAUGAACGGGAGAGGAUGGGCUACAUUUUCUACCCUAGAACCCCCCGACCAGCGCCAUGAAAACUGCGCCAGAAGUUGGAUUUAGCAGUAAACCAAACAAGACAUGUCUGGUUGAACAAUG